CUUCGUGCGGCCAACUGUCGUUGUGGCAGUCCUAUCACCCGUNUCGCUCCUUGUAAUAUUCUGGAGAUCGAUCGUGGCCCCGUAAUAGUUGCUUGUGAUUGGAAUCCUUUCGUGGGUGGUAAUAAACUUCGGUUGAUGUCUCGUGGAUUAGCCUCAAUGCCCGUCUUCAAGGCAUGGAGAUUGCUCUAUGGAAUGAGACCCUUCCACCCUUGGCUUUGGGAGCUGUCGCACGACAUUCUCGUUUCUAUGGUGGUGGAAUGAGGGCCUCAUGAUAUUGUCGCAAAUGUGGCUCUUUGAAAUCGAGUCUUGGUGUUGUGGCGCCUUGCUCGAGUUGCGAUUUAUCCAAGUGGAUGGUGCCUUCAUCUUCUGUGCGACUUUGGUGCUUUCCCCUCGUGUCAUAUGAAAUGUAUGACUGCGGUGGGGCGAGAUCAUGGUUGCGUCGAGGACGUGCUACCUGGUUGAUCCUGCCAGUAG
rnacentral:misc_RNA from 1 species